UGUUCCUUUGGAACCUAGGUUAGCUGCUUUGUGUGGAGAAGGUAAAAAAGAGAACCAUUUUAGCCAAAAUUAACAGGUAACCUCUUGCACAUGGCCUCAUAAGGCUUAAUUGAAUUCCUUUUAUGAAGUUUUCCCUAAAAUUCUCCCCAAAAAGAAAGAAAGAAUGCCAAAAAAUCUGCAUUUGCUCCUAACUUAGUGUUUACUUCAAUAUCAUUCUAUAAAAUAAUAGAAAAGCCUUUGAGUUUUUUUUUUUUUUUAAAAAAUUGUUGUUAGUAAAUAAAUAAUAGAAAAAGGAAAAUUGUAUCCCAAACCCAAAUUCCAAAAUGUGAAAAGUCGAAAACCCCUUAUUAGGGGAGUGAUACAUUUAAUUUCACUCAAAACCCAAAGAGCAGACAGUUGAGGCAAGGGUUAGCGCGAGCACCGGCUUCCAAGGGAGAAAGGAAGAGAGAUAUGGGACUGUCAAGCAGAGUAGGAGAUUGGGCUUUCAAGGCGUUCACCGCUAGUCUGGGCGUCGCCACCAUUUAUCUAACCGCCACUUUCUCCGUCAACGUCUAUAGAGGCCUCUCUUGGCACAACGCUCAAUCGAAAGCUGAGAAGCAAAGCACUAGCGAACAAUCUUCAUGACUUGAGUUUUUCAGCUGUCAUAUAUUUUUUCAGGGCCGUGAAAUUACCAUGUAAACUUUCAUCUCGACUUCAUUGUUUUCUAGCAGGGUAGCAAGUUGAAUUCGAGGCCAAUGUGUCUCAAAUAUGUUUUAACUAGAUGCAUUACAUGGAUGUACCAUCCUGUAGUUUGAUUUUGCAGCAAAUAUGAGUUGGUUUACCUGGCAUUUACAAGUCUUA